rnacentral:tRNA from 1 species
CAAAUUAGAGCUUGUAAAUAAAGUAUUUCAUUUACAUUGAAAAGAAAUUAAAUUUAAUUAAUUUGA